GAUGAACGCUGGCGGCGUGCCUAAUACAUGCAAGUCGAGCGAACAGACGAGGAGCUUGCUCCUCUGACGUUAGCGGCGGACGGGUGAGUAACACGUGGAUAACCUACCUAUAAGACUGGGAUAACUUCGGGAAACCGGAGCUACUACCGGCUAAUAUAUUGAACCGCAUGGUUCAAUAGUGAAAGACGGUUUUCCUGUCACUUAUAGAUGGAUCCGCGCCGCAUUAGCUAGUUGGUAAGGUAACGGCUUACCAAGGCAACGAUGCGUAGCCGACCUGAGAGGGUGAUCGGCCACACUGGAACUGAGACACGGUCCAGACUCCUACGGGAGGCAGCAGUAGGGAAUCUUGGGCAAUGGGCGAAAGCCUGACGGAGCAACGCCGCGUGAGUGAUGAAGGUCUUCGGAUCGUAAAACUCUGUUAUUAGGGAAGAAAAAAUGUGUAAGUAACUAUGCACGUCUUGACGGUACCUAAUGAGAAAGCCACGGCUAACUUCGUG
rnacentral:rRNA from 1 species